GAACGAACGCUGGCGGCCUGCCUAACACAUGCAAGUCGAACGAGACCUUCGGGUCUCGUGGCGCACGGGUGCGUAACGCGUGGGAACCUGCCUUUAGGUUCGGAAUAACUCAGAGAAAUUUGAGCUAAUACCGGAUGAUGUCUUCGGACCAAAGAUUUAUCGCCUUUAGAUGGGCCCGCGUUGGAUUAGCUAGUUGGUGGGGUAAAGGCCUACCAAGGCGACGAUCCAUAGCUGGUCUGAGAGGAUGAUCAGCCACACUGGGACUGAGACACGGCCCAGACUCCUACGGGAGGCAGCAGUGGGGAAUAUUGGACAAUGGGCGAAAGCCUGAUCCAGCAAUGCCGCGUGAGUGAUGAAGGCCUUAGGGUUGUAAAGCUCUUUUACCCGAGAUGAUAAUGACAGUAUCGGGAGAAUAAGCUCCGGCUAACUCCGUG
rnacentral:rRNA from 1 species